GCCUAAAGCGUCCGUAGCCUGCUCUGUAAGUUUCCGGUUAAAUCCAUUAGCUCAACUAAUGGCCUGCCGGAAAUACUGCAGAGCUAGGAAGUGGGAGAGGUAGACGGUACUCGGUAGGAAGGGGUAAAAUCCUUUGAUCUAUUGAUGACCACCUGUGGCGAAGGCGGUCUACCAGAACACGUUCGACGGUGAGGGAUGAAAGCUGGGGGAGCAAACCGGAUUAGAUACCCGGGUAGUCCCAGCUGUAAACGAUGCAGACUCGGUGAUGCCCUGGCUUGUGGCCAGUGCAGUGCCGCAGGGAAGCCGUUAAGUUUGCCGCCUGGGAAGUACGUACGCAAGUAUGAAACUUAAAGGAAUUGGCGGGGGAGCACCACAAGGGGUGAAGCCUGCGGUUCAAUUGGAGUCAACGCCAGAAAUCUUACCCGGAGAGACAGCAGAAUGAAGGUCAAGCUGAAGACUUUACCAGACAAGCUGAGAGGUGGUGCAUGGCCGCCGCCAGCUCGUGCCGUGAGAUGUCCUGUUAAGUCAGGUAACGAGCGAGAUCCCUGCCUCUAGUUGCCACCAUUACUCUCAGGAGUAGUGGGGCGAAUUAGCGGGACCGCCACAGUUAAUGUGGAGGAAGGAAGGGGCCACGACAGGUCAGUAUGCCCCGAA
rnacentral:rRNA from 1 species